ensembl:lncRNA
CUAUGGGGCCCUGGUCUAAAGUAGUGCACUACCCCUAUGGGGCCCUGGUCUAAAGUAGUGCACUACCCCUAAGGGCCCCUGGUCUAAAUAGUGCACUACCCUAUGGGUCCUUGUCUAUAGUAGUGCACUACCCCUAUGAGCCCUGGUCUAAAGUAGUGCACUACCCCUAUGGGCCCUGGUCUAAAGUAGUGCAAUAUAUAGGGAAUAGGGCCCUGGUCUAAAGUAGUGCACUAUAUAGGGAAUAGGGCUCUGGUCUAUAGUAGUGCACUAUAUAGGGAAUAGGGCUCUGGUCUAAAGUAGUGCACUAUGUAGGGAAUAGGGCUCUGGUCUAUAGUAGUGCACUAUAUAGGGAAUAGGGCUCUGGUCUAAAGUAGUGCACUAUAUAGGGAAUAGGGCUCUGGUCUAUAGUAGUGCACUAUAUAGGGAAUAGGGCUCUGGUCUAAAGUAGUGCACUAUAUAGGGAAUAGGGCUCUGGUCUAAAGUAGUGCACUAUGUAGGGAAUAGGGCUCUGGUCUAUAGUAGUGCACUAUGUAGGGAAUAGGGCUCUGGUCUAUAGUAGUGCACUAUAUAGGGAAUAGGGCUCUGGUCUAAAGUAGUGUACUAUAUAGGGAAUAGGGCUCUGGUCUAUAGUAGUGCACUAUAUAGGGAAUAGGGCUCUGGUCUAAAGUAGUGCACUAUAUAGGGAAUAGGGUUCAUUUUUUGGACGUGAGCGAACUCUUUCUCCUGCCAUGUUGAAAGUCAUUUAGACUUGUUUUGUUUAUUUGUGGUUCUUUAAUUGUAUCCAGCCGUUGUUGUUGAUUAAACGCAGACCUCAUGUAAUAUUAUUAUAGUCAGAAAUGAUGCAGAGAGAGAACACACAAAACCCGUUGUGUUUUUUUUUAGAUGUGUAACACGGAAAUAAAACAGUGUUUUAACAUUGAUGCAGAAAUGAUUCACAAUCAUUUAAACAUUGUUUUUAGUUUAAAGUACAAAGCUACACGUGGCCGUGUUCCAAACGCCAGCCUCUUUUUCAACCCAAAGUAGUGUACUAUUUAGGGGAAUAGGGUGCCAUUUUGAUAUGCACCCCCCCUCCUAUUCCACCCACCUGUUGUGUCUAAAUGGAGACUGUAAAGUCCUGAAUGAUUUGCACGUGAGCUGGAUUUGAUGUUGUCGUCAAACAAUUAACACAUUCAUAAUGCUUCAAGAUCAAAGGAAUCGCCACCAUUAAGAUUAUUUGUAUAUUUUGUUGGGGGGGGGUGCUGUGUGAAGUUGAAAGUGGGAUUGCUGUAAAUUGUACAAAAUGAUGCACAUUUAAAAAAAAUUAAAAAAUGUUUUAAUUAACCUGGUGCAGUCCUGUCCCCCUGCAGCGGUUGUUGACCUGGUUGUGCCUUAACUUUGUGCUUUCAAACAACCAAACAACCACAAACAGCUGUCACUGCAUUACUGGAGAAUGUCUUGGGGUUUAUUAUAGCGGUAUAAUCAUUUGUUUAAAGGGAACGUGAGGUCAGAAAGAAAGAGCUUGUGUUUUCUUGGAAAGUUUUUUUUUUUUUCUCUCAUUCUGGACAACACCGAGAAUGUGGGUGUUUUCGUAGGUGUGUUUGUGUCCAACAAUAUGCUUUCCUGCCCCCCCCCCACCAGAGUGCGUCCCCAAAUGGCACUCUUUUCCCUAUGUAGUGCACUACUUUUGACUCGAGCCUUAUGGUGACCGGGGUGCCAUUUGGGGACCUACCCAAUAUUUUUUUAUUAUUUUAAAUUCAAGUCCGGUUGUUGUUUGGGUAGUCAAACGUGGGUAGUUUAAAAAAAUGUUUAGAUACUUUCUGCUUUUACUCUCCUUCCCAUUUACAGAAUGACCUUUUUACAUUCACAGUUGUAUUCCACUGCACAGAGCUGAAUAUGUACAAAAUAAACAAUGUUCAAAAUGGAAGCCAGUUUGUUUUUUUGCUGACUGUACUUUCCUGUGUGGUGCAUCAUGGGUAAUGAUCUUUAAAAAAAAUAUAAAAAAUUGUAUUUAAUUGUCACCAGCCUGAUGGUGAAUACCAGUGAUGCACCCGAAGGUUGUUUUUCUUCUUAAGAAAUGAUAUGAGUCUGUAUAAAAUGAGUGAAUGUACAUGUUUGGUCUGUGUGUGCGGCUUACAUUAAAAAAAAAAACACAAAUUUUCCAGAAAUCCCGGUUUUUAGAGGAUUUUGGUGUGUUCUGCUUAUUCCCUCUUAAUUCCGGCUGACAUUUCUGGGGAAUUUGGGUAAAAGUUUCCAGAAUUUUCUAAACCUAUCUGUGUGGCACUUCUCUACGGUCCAAGAUGACGCUUGCUGCUUCAACUAUCAGCUGCUCCCCCCUUCAAUGACGUUUCUUUCUCUCGUUUAUGUAAACGUUGUAUGCAGAAGACGUUUAAUUCCUAUUGACCUAUCACGACCCCCCC